UAGGGAAUCUUCCACAAUGGGCGAAAGCCUGAUGGAGCAACGCCGCGUGUGUGAUGAAGGGUUUCGGCUCGUAAAACACUGUUGUAAGAGAAGAAUGACAUUGAGAGUAACGGUUCAAUGUGUGACGGUAUCUUACCAGAAAGGAACGGCUAAAUACGUGCCUG
rnacentral:rRNA from 1 species